UACGUAGGGGGCAAGCGUUGUCCGGAAUCAUUGGGCGUAAAGAGCGUGUAGGCGGCCUGAUAAGUCGGUUGUGAAAGUCAAGGGCUCAACCCUUGAAUGCCGACCGAUACUGUCAGGCUAGAGUCCGGAAGAGGCGAGUGGAAUUCCUGGUGUAGCGGUGAAAUGCGCAGAUAUCAGGAGGAACACCAAUGGCGAAGGCAGCUCGCUGGGACGGUACUGACGCUGAGACGCGAAAGCGUGGGGAGCAAACCGG
rnacentral:rRNA from 1 species